AGCAGCUUCUUUCCUGAAAUCUUGGGACCAGGUGGAGUUGCAAGAUUGGGAUCUAGUCCUGGCUCUGCACAACAGCUGUGGAGCCUUGGGAAGCCAUUUGAAUCCUCUGGGUCCCCAGUUCUGUAGAAUGAGGACUGGACUUACAUCCAAUGUCCCUUCCAGCUCUGAUACCAGUGGUCUAACCCAAGGAAGCACCAGUCUUAGCAAGAGUGUCUUCUACCCUGAGCUGUCCCCAUGAUACCCUUGAGGUCAGCCAUGGCACUUGGGGGAGCCUGGCACCUGCAUCCAGUCGGCCCACCCUGUCCCUAGGGCUCUGGAAUUGGUGGUGGGCUGGAGGCAGUGCAGACUCUGUAGGGAAAAUUGGGGGGCAGGCAGCACUCAUUGGCUGUUCUGCCCAUCCUUUGUCCCUAGUACGCACCAGAAGGCGUCCAGAAGAUCCUUAUUGGGAAUAAGGCUGAUGAGGAGCAGAAACGGCAGGUGGGAAGAGAGCAAGGGCAGCAGCUGGCAAAGGAGUAUGGCAUGGACUUCUAUGAAACAAGUGCCUGCACCAACCUCAAC
rnacentral:sRNA from 1 species